CUUAUUUAAGCGUUUGGCCAUGAUCAGGAGCUCCAUCGAUGCCCCUGUGCACGAGCGUGGAGACCAAUAAUGGAGGCGAGAGCUUCUGUCACGAUCAAGAUCUUCAUGUUGCCUCUGUUGGAAAGAGACCAAGGGACAUAGUGGAGCUGAUGGAAGAAUUCUUUCACGGCUGCACCCUCUUUGUUGGCU